CUCUGGAUAAGAGCAUCAGCUAAACAGCUGAGAUGUAAAUGUUGAGAGUUCCUCAACAGAUGAUGAAGAGGAAGGGCCAAUGAUGUGAAGGCCCAGAUCCAUCAGAGUAUCAAUGUUCUUCCUCUCUCUCCUCCCCUCUCACUGCAGACAUGAACCACUGGCUGAGAAACAUCCUGAUUCUGACUCUCUGGCUAGAGUGUAAAGGAGAAGACAGAGUGACCCAGCCAGCAGGAGAUGUCAUUGCUGCUGAAGGAGACACAGUUACACUUGGCUGUACUUUUGAGACAAGUUACACAGGUCCAGCUUUGUUCUGGUACAAACAAGUAAAUGAGUCUCCUAAGUACAUGCUGAAAAGUUACUCAAAAACAACAGAUUUUUCUGCAGAGUUCACGAAAGACAGAUUUAAUGCUACAAUCAAGGAUAAGUCAGUUCCUCUGAAGAUCCAGAAGCUUCAGCUGUCUGACUCUGCUGUGUACUACUGUGCUCUGCAGCCCACAGUGACAGGAAACACCAAAACUCUGUACAAAAACCUUUGGAGCAAAGACAACAGAAUACUCCACA